rnacentral:rRNA from 1 species
GGGUUGUGAGGUUAAGCGACUAAGCGUACACGGUGGAUGCCCUGGCAGUCAGAGGCGAUGAAGGGCGUGCUAAUCUGCGAUAAGCGCCGGUAAGGUGAUAUGAACCGUUAUAACCGGCGAUACCCGAAUGGGGAAACCCAGUGUGUUUCGACACACUAUCAUUAACUGAAUCCAUAGGUUAAUGAGGCGAACCGGGGGAACUGAAACAUCUAAGUACCCCGAGGAAAAGAAAUCAACCGAGAUUCCCCCAGUAGCGGCGAGCGAACGGGGAGGAGCCCAGAGCCUGAAUCAGCAUGUGUGUUAGUGGAAGCGUCUGGAAAGGCGCGCGAUACAGGGUGACAGCCCCGUACACAAAAGCGCAUGUGCUGUGAGCUCGAUGAGUAGGGCGGGACACGUGGUAUCCUGUCUGAAUAUGGGGGGACCAUCCUCCAAGGCUAAAUACUCCUGACUGACCGAUAGUGAACCAGUACCGUGAGGGAAAGGCGAAAAGAACCCCGGCGAGGGGAGUGAAAAAGAACCUGAAACCGUGUACGUACAAGCAGUGGGAGCCCCACCACUAAGCCAGUGGUGAACUCCACAUACGCAUCCUUUGCUGAGGAUACGGUUAACGGAGCGAAAGCGACGUUCAACCUCAAAAGAAGCAGAGGGGGCUUAGUGGUGGGGUGACUGCGUACCUUUUGUAUAAUGGGUCAGCGACUUAUAUUCUGUAGCAAGGUUAACCGAAUAGGGGAGCCGGAGGGAAACCGAGUCUUAACCGGGCGUUAAGUUGCAGGGUAUAGACCCGAAACCCGGUGAUCUAGCCAUGGGCAGGUUGAAGGUUGGGUAACACUAACUGGAGGACCGAACCGACUAAUGUUGAAAAAUUAGCGGAUGACCUGUGGCUGGGGGUGAAAGGCCAAUCAAACCGGGAGAUAGCUGGUUCUCCCCGAAAGCUAUUUAGGUAGCGCCUCGUGAAUUCAUCUCCGGGGGUAGAGCACUGUUUCGGCUAGGGGGCCAUCCCGGCUUACCAACCCGAUGCAAACUGCGAAUACCGGAGAAUGUUAUCACGGGAGACACACGGCGGGUGCUAACGUCCGUCGUGAAGAGGGAAACAACCCAGACCGCCAGCUAAGGUCCCAAAGUCAUGGUUAAGUGGGAAACGAUGUGGGAAGGCCCAGACAGCCAGGAUGUUGGCUUAGAAGCAGCCAUCAUUUAAAGAAAGCGUAAUAGCUCACUGGUCGAGUCGGCCUGCGCGGAAGAUGUAACGGGGCUAAACCAUGCACCGAAGCUGCGGCAGCGACGCUGAUGCGUUGUUGGGUAGGGGAGCGUUCUGUAAGCCUGCGAAGGUGGCCUGUGAGGGUUGCUGGAGGUAUCAGAAGUGCGAAUGCUGACAUAAGUAACGAUAAAGCGGGUGAAAAGCCCGCUCGCCGGAAGACCAAGGGUUCCUGUCCAACGUUAAUCGGGGCAGGGUGAGUCGACCCCUAAGGCGAGGCCGAAAGGCGUAGUCGAUGGGAAACGGGUUAAUAUUCCCGUACUUGGUGUUACUGCGAAGGGGGGACGGAGAAGGCUAUGUUGGCCGGGCGACGGUUGUCCCGGUUUAAGCGUGUAGGUGUGUGUUCCAGGUAAAUCCGGUUCACUUUAACACUGAGGCGUGAUGACGAGGCACUACGGUGCUGAAGCAACAAAUGCCCUGCUUCCAGGAAAAGCCUCUAAGCAUCAGGUAACAUCAAAUCGUACCCCAAACCGACACAGGUGGUCAGGUAGAGAAUACCAAGGCGCUUGAGAGAACUCGGGUGAAGGAACUAGGCAAAAUGGUGCCGUAACUUCGGGAGAAGGCACGCUGACACGUAGGUGAAGUGAUUUACUCAUGGAGCUGAAGUCAGUCGAAGAUACCAGCUGGCUGCAACUGUUUAUUAAAAACACAGCACUGUGCAAACACGAAAGUGGACGUAUACGGUGUGACGCCUGCCCGGUGCCGGAAGGUUAAUUGAUGGGGUCAGCGCAAGCGAAGCUCCUGAUCGAAGCCCCGGUAAACGGCGGCCGUAACUAUAACGGUCCUAAGGUAGCGAAAUUCCUUGUCGGGUAAGUUCCGACCUGCACGAAUGGCGUAAUGAUGGCCAGGCUGUCUCCACCCGAGACUCAGUGAAAUUGAACUCGCUGUGAAGAUGCAGUGUACCCGCGGCAAGACGGAAAGACCCCGUGAACCUUUACUAUAGCUUGACACUGAACAUUGAGCCUUGAUGUGUAGGAUAGGUGGGAGGCUUUGAAGUGUGGACGCCAGUCUGCAUGGAGCCGGCCUUGAAAUACCACCCUUUAAUGUUUGAUGUUCUAACGUGGACCCGUGAUCCGGGUUGCGGACAGUGUCUGGUGGGUAGUUUGACUGGGGCGGUCUCCUCCUAAAGAGUAACGGAGGAGCACGAAGGUUGGCUAAUCCUGGUCGGACAUCAGGAGGUUAGUGCAAUGGCAUAAGCCAGCUUGACUGCGAGCGUGACGGCGCGAGCAGGUGCGAAAGCAGGUCAUAGUGAUCCGGUGGUUCUGAAUGGAAGGGCCAUCGCUCAACGGAUAAAAGGUACUCCGGGGAUAACAGGCUGAUACCGCCCAAGAGUUCAUAUCGACGGCGGUGUUUGGCACCUCGAUGUCGGCUCAUCACAUCCUGGGGCUGAAGUAGGUCCCAAGGGUAUGGCUGUUCGCCAUUUAAAGUGGUACGCGAGCUGGGUUUAGAACGUCGUGAGACAGUUCGGUCCCUAUCUGCCGUGGGCGCUGGAGAACUGAGGGGGGCUGCUCCUAGUACGAGAGGACCGGAGUGGACGCAUCACUGGUGUUCGGGUUGUCAUGCCAAUGGCACUGCCCGGUAGCUAAAUGCGGAAGAGAUAAGUGCUGAAAGCAUCUAAGCACGAAACUUGCCCCGAGAUGAGUUCUCCCUGAGACUUAGAGUCUCCUGAAGGAACGUUGAAGACGACGACGUUGAUAGGCCGGGUGUGUAAGCGCAGCGAUGCGUUGAGCUAACCGGUACUAAUGAACCGUGAGGCUUAACCUUACA